rnacentral:lncRNA from 1 species
AUGAUUCAUCCUGGUCUUUAUUUAUUUUAGACACGAAGUGAUAAUAGCCAGAGACAUGGGCAAGCCUCGCAGUUACAAGCGGUCAAGCUCGUGGGCAUGCCAAUUGGUAAGUAGGAUUGAUGCUUCACGGUACACAUAACCUUCACAACUAAUGUUUGCUUACAAGAUGUGUCAUGCAGCAAGCUAGUAGACGAGAUAAUAACAUGACACAAACACUAAUUGCAGAAACACAAGAGAGAUCAGAUUAAGUAGUACUACUAGUAGUGGGAAAGACCGAAAUAAAUAAAGAUACGAUGCUACCACACAAACACAACUAGGACAACUUGUCUUCAUCUCCUAGUGUGGAUCCAUGCAUGACAAGUUAUCUUCAUGAUCACUGCGGUGGCACUCGUGCGUCGGGCAGGGUGGAUACUUGUCGAGAUGUUGAGGUGGGGGUGGUCGCUUGAUGUCGAUGAUGUUGACUACCACGCGUCUUCAUCCUGUACAAUACAGAUGAUCAAUAUCUUCACAGUUCACACGAAUGACCAACAUUGGACUAACUUUCUAUGGUAAGAAGACCAAGUUAGGGUGUUCCCUCGGAAACACCUUCAUUUUUCUCAAUCUUUUCCUCGCUUGUUCCUGUCCCUGAAAUAAACUUAGUGAUGUAAGAAAAAUAAAGUUUUGGUUGUGUACAAUCCAGUUCUAAGAGGGAGCAAAAUUUGCGUUAGAACUUUGCAUAAUGAAUCAAUAAUUACUAUAUUUAAACUUGCCUUUGUUGCCGUUGUUUUUCUAGCAACCGAAGCUUGACCCUGAAACACUCAUACCGGCGAUACCGCUGCAUGAGGCACUCAUGCGGCUAGCAUUCUAAACAAGCUGGCGGUAUGAGUGCCUCAGGGUCAAACUCAGGUGGCCGGAAGGAGAGAAGAGACCGUAGGAGAGAUAGUUGGAAGGUGGAGAGGAGAAGGAGAGAAGAGACCGCGGGAGUGAUAGCUGGAAGGCGGAGAGGGGAGAGUGGGAUGGACGCACACUUGGAAGGCACGCACGGGAGCCCAAUUUUAUAGCCGCG